rnacentral:rRNA from 1 species
AGUGAACGCUGGCGGUAGGCCUAACACAUGCAAGUCGAACGGCAGCACAGUAAGAGCUUGCUCUUACGGGUGGCGAGUGGCGGACGGGUGAGGAAUACAUCGGAAUCUACUUUUUCGUGGGGGAUAACGUAGGGAAACUUACGCUAAUACCGCAUACGACCUACGGGUGAAAGUAGGGGAUCUUCGGACCUUGCGCGAUUGAAUGAGCCGAUGUCGGAUUAGCUAGUUGGCGGGGUAAAGGCCCACCAAGGCGACGAUCCGUAGCUGGUCUGAGAGGAUGAUCAGCCACACUGGAACUGAGACACGGUCCAGACUCCUACGGGAGUCAGCAGUGGGGAAUAUUGGACAAUGGGCGCAAGCCUGAUCCAGCCAUACCGCGUGGGUGAAGAAGGCCUUCGGGUUGUAAAGCCCUUUUGUUGGGAAAGAAAAGCAGCAGGUUAAUACCCCGCUGUUCUGACGGUACCCAAAGAAUAAGCACCGGCUAACUUCGUG